CAGGUCAGAUAAAGACAGAAAAUAAAUUCUGGGACCUUGCAUCAGACCACUGCCUCUGGGAGAAACAGAACAGCCAGCAAGACUUUCUUCAAAAAAUAAUGUAUUAAAAACGUUGUCUGAUUUUGUUGACUGCCUGUCAAAUUUGGAAACCUAGAGAGUGUGAAUGUCUCCACUGACAAUGUUCACUGAUCCAUUCAUUGAACAAUUACAUUCUCUAAGCACUUACUCUGGGCCAGGCUUUGUGUGAGGGGCUGUGGAGAAUCAAACAUAAAUCCU
rnacentral:lncRNA from 1 species